rnacentral:rRNA from 1 species
CAUUCCUACGGGACGCAGCAGUAGGGAAUUUUCGUCAAUGGGCGCAAGCCUGAACGAGCAAUGCCGCGUGAACGAGGAAGGUCUUCGGAUCGUAAAGUUCUGUUGAAGGGGAAAAAGAGCGGAGAGAGGAAAUGGUCUCCGAUUGAUAUUACCCUUCGAGGAAGUCACGGCUAACUACGUGCCAGCAGCCGCGGUAAUACGUAGGUGGCGAGCGUUAUCCGGAUUUACUGGGUGUAAAGGGAGCGUAGGCGGUUUAGCAAGUCAGAAGUGAAAGCCCGGGGCUCAACUCCGGGACUGCUUUUGAA